ACAUGCAUACAACAUAGAAUUAAUGCACUAUAUCCCAUUAUAACUCCGCAAUUAAGCAUGCUCAGACUAAAGUAGUACUGGGAUGGGUGAGCACCUGGGAAGUCCUAGUGUUUUACAUUCC
rnacentral:rRNA from 1 species